rnacentral:misc_RNA from 1 species
AGUAAACAUAAUGGUAAUGAUAAGGGUGCCUACUACUGUACAAGAAGUUGCAGUGCUUUUCAUCCAUUUCUCCCCCUCUUUCCUCAGCUGCUCAUGGUUCCUAGUGAAAAGUUGAUAAGCUGAUUCACCAUUGCUAUUGAGAUGUAUUUUAGUACCAGGUGUCACAAUACUCUCUACCUCCUUAAACCACUGUAAUUCUCUUUGCAUUUGCAGAGCUGCGCCUGAUAUGCGAUCAAGCCGUGAGGGAGGUGACAUUGCUGCCCAAUGUAACAUGGAAUUGCCGUAGUUAUCAGCCAUGUAAAUCUGUCUCCGUUUUCCUAUAUUCAUGCCAUAUAUGAGGUUAAAAAUCUUUUCUUGGCGUUCUGCAAUUGCUGACAAUAUUAUGCCUCUUCCAAAGAAGUCAUUUUCAUUGACAAAAUCGGGAUUAGCUUUAAUCAUCUCAAUCACAAAUUCAGUUAUCCCGUUCUUGACAGCCAGAAAAAGUGCAUUUCCUACUAGACCCUGUGGAAGCUCCUCAAGAUCUAAAGUUGAUAUUUCUCUGCAGAGGCAGCGUAGAAUUUCAAGCGCAUAGACAUGGGUCAACUUCAUCUCAUAUAUUUCCUGGAUUCCUAAUAAUUUUAAUAUUCGCAAAACAAGUCCAUGAGAUUGACCAAACACUUGCACCGCAACGUCUUCUUGUCCAUUUUGGUUGUUUUGAGACGCCAUAUCAUUGCUAGUUGAGGUUAUGGGUAAUUGUAUUUGUAUACGUGAAUAAAUCCAUUGUUUCCAAAAUAUGAGCCGACAAGAACUUGGGAAUGAUGAAGGCAUUGAGGCCAACUCGCGCAAUGGGAUGGUAUUCCAAUUGUUUGCAGUAAUAAUUAAACGCGGACACCGUCGAAGCACAUCCAAAGCAAUAUCAAACAUUCCAGAAGUGAGAGAUUGAUUGAGCAAAGUAGAUCCAUGAGGACCAUUUUCAGGAAACCAAACAUCUGGUGGAGUGCAAUGGUAUAAAUGAAGAGCGGUAUCUUUAUGGCUUCCUAUACAUGCUGCCAAAGCUGGCAUUCUCAUUCUAAAGUCUGGAAUGGUAACCAACUCCUUAUUCUUUUGAACUAAGCAUUUAGUAAUCCUACUGCUCCCACAUGCAGCAGUUAAAUGCAAAGCUGUUUGACCAAAUGUGUCUUGAAUUACCAACUGUUCUUUUGACAUUAAACGAAUCAAAUUUUCACUUAUCUCCUCAUAUCCAUUGGCAACUGCAACAUGAAUGGGCAAACUGCCAUAUUGUGUAAUUCGAGCAGUUAAUGCAUCUUUGUUGCGUUUUAGAAAAUCUUGUAUCUUGUCCCAAUCGCGCUGGUGAAUAGCCUGGUGUAAUGGCCCAAAUCUUUUCCGCUCAUUGUCAUAAUACCAUAGCAUCAUGGGGUAACCAGGAACCACUCUUGGAAACACUUUUAGGAGUUUGGCUGGAUCAAUGACAUUGUAUCCUUGAUGAAAUUUGGCCAACGUAUCCCACAACAUUUUGGCUGAGGUAAUUCCGUGAAUCAUUGAACGGAUACCAUCAUCACAGCAAGCUUGAAUUGCAGUUAAAGCUUCUGCAUUCUUCCUUCUCCAAGUCUCAUAAUCCACUAUGGUGUUCUGUGAUUGCUCAGAACUUGGCUCUAUAGCAUCCCAAAGACCUCUACUUGAUAGAUAUGACUUCAUUUGAGGACUCCAAUUUUCAUACCGAAUUCUUGUGGGAGUUUCAGGAGUCACUAUUGGACUUGGGUCCAUUGUUAACAUAGGGAUAUUUGGUGUUUCUCGUACUUGAGAGCUUUCUAAAGCCAUCCUUUGAAGAUGGAAGUUGGGAAAUGGUGAUGAUAUAGCUGUGCAAUGGCAGUUGCAGUGUCGGAACAACGAGAGCUCAAAAUUGCCGAAGCCAAGAUGGAAAUUGCCAAAUUAGAAUGCUUAUGCUUAGGCCUCAG